UCUUAUGUCGGUUAUGGAAUCUAAGCGCCGAUUUGAUUCUUUUUAUUCUGCGUCAAUCUGUUGCUCCGACAUCAAUUCUCCGGCUCUACAGCAUCCAAGUAAGUUUAGUUUUAGUUGGUAACUGAUACCCAAAUGCUCAGUUAUAGCUUAGUUUUGGUUUUUAUUGAGUAAUUAUACUACGGUCAUGAUAUAUCAUCCUGUUGUUUCUAGGGUUAAGGUUUCUUCUUGAAGCUUUGGGGACGUUAAUUUAGGGUUUCUUAUCGAAAAUCAUGAAGAGAACGUUCGUAUGCAGUGAAGUCACUAAUUUAGGGGUUUAAUCAAAGUAUCGAACAAAGAACUGAACAAUGAAGAUAAAAAAAUUAUUUACAAAAUAAGUUUGAAAGAUGAAACCUGGCACCAGAUUAGGUCUAUUUAUGUAGUUUCUUACACUAUGCGUAGUCGUUUAAGGGGAGCUCUCAACUUCUUACCAACUUUUUUCCUCAUAAGUAAAAGUUUAAGUAGUGUGAGAAACAUGAUUUGAUUGUGAGUUGACCCCACACCCCAAGCUCUUCGCGCCCGUUAAAGCCGCAACACCCCCACCCCACAAUAAUGUCCCAGGCGCGGUGUGUGGCACCUUGAAUAGGUGAGGUGGCGGCAGGCGGCAGGCGCUAGCCAACUACACAGUCUUAAGGUAUGUUUGUUCUACAGUUAAUAAUGUAGUUCAAUCAUUCACUUCAGUCUUAAGAGUUCACUUUAGUCUUAAGAAGACACAAUGUAAAAAUACACGGGGCUGAGCCAUGAUGAGGUGAGGGGUUCAGCUAACCUACUAAGAACAAUUUUUAACAACCGAGUUGGGUUUGCUUUUUGAAGUAGUUUUUGAUUUUCGGAACUGCUAAAAUUAUAUCCUUUGCUCUGUCAUGAUCUAGCUAAUGUCGUUCUUUGCAAGUACAUCAUCAUGGAAUCUAUAAAUUCAAGGAACAAUUUCAAUAUUAUGGCAAAGCUAUUCAUUGUUACUAUAGUCGGCAUAUUACUGACCAUUCCAACAACAGAGUCCACUUUCAGAGAAGUGUUUAGCAAAUUAAAUUUCCGUGAAGAACCAGGGUUACUUCAGUUUCAGCCACACAACACACCUAAUUCUGAGGACAAUGGAUGCAAUCUUAUCUUGACAUAUCAAACCUAUAUAUUAAGUAUUAACUCGAGAUCAUGAAGGACUUCUGCAGGAUUAUAGGAGGACAUGCGAAAGUAAUUAUCCUUUUGUUGGAUUAGAAACAAGGGUGGGCAGCUGGUUACCUGGUCGGGCAACUAAAAAAAGGAUCGCAGACCAUCAGACAAUACAUCAUGCGUUUAAUCAAGAAGAUCAACAUUCUGCAGACGUAGGAGGCAAUGGGUAGUUAGUUUUGCCUUUGUUUCAUGACCUGGGUACUGGGAGUAAAACUGUGGGAAUCAUUGACUUUGUCACGCCUGUGCCAAAAGAAAGUAAUGUUGAAGAUAAACAAAUACACAAUCUACUAAAGGUGGAAUUAGCAAAGAUAUUUUUCAAAGAUGGAACGUUUCGAUUCAACGGUAUUAAUUUGAGUUAGUUUGCGUUUAAACCCGCCGCAUUGGUGAUAUGUACGUUUUCUUUAUCUUUAAUUUGGUCUAACUUUCGAUGUAAAUUUUGCUUGGUUACCACAUAUGCACGUUUUAAGUUGGUGUACAUUUCAACAUAGAUUUUGUUCGGGUAAAAUGUAAUACGUUUUCAUUCGACCGUGUAAAUUCCAGUUAUCGCACGUUUCAUCGUAAA